ACACGAACUUACAAGGUAUUUUUGCAGAAAUAUUUAUUGCAUGUUCUGUGCUCCAUGGCUCUCCUUAGCAGGUGAGCAUUAGUGACAUGGUUUUUUUGUGACUGGCAUUUAAAUAACUUGGAUACCAUGAAUUCCCUAAAAGUUCUGUGUUUCCAAAGCUCUUCUUAUCAUAAGGAUAUACUACAAAAUAUAUUGACCUUCUGUGAUUAUUAACAUGCUUUUACUUACUUACUUAUUGCUUCCUGCAAUUUGUAAUGUGUUUAAUCCUGACAUAAUGAUAAAGAGGUCAGGAAUAGAAAGGGAGGAAUGGAAUCAGCUAGAGACUAUACUGACUUAUAAGUUACCCAAAUAAUUAAGCCAGAUAGCUGAAAAACAAGGACAAAUUUUCUUCUGACCUGUGCUGCUGCUCUUCAAGCAUUGUACCCUCAUUCCCUUUGUUCCUUUUCUUCUGGGAAAAUAUACUGUCUUUCCAGUUUUCUUCCACUGGGAAAACAUAUUUCAUGUAAAUAAUUUUUGAUUUAACAACAUAUUUUUAAUAAUUUAUCUUUAUCCUUUAGCUCAUCCUUAUUCAGUUUGACUUUUCUCUUCCCUUACCAAGGUGCCCUUCAUAAUAAUGGAAUUGCAUUAACAUUUCUCCUUCAGCCUCCACUGCAAAUAGGGACCUGAACCAAAGCCCUGGUUUGAACACUAUUAGUAGAGGCACAUCAGUGCAAGUGGGUUACAGCUGUUGAAACCUGCUCUGUAAUAUUCUCAGAGCAAACUAUCAGAUCAUCAAAUAUGAUUUUAAAUGAAAUCUGAAGUGUAAAAGGAUUCUGGAAAGAACCAUUUUCACAUAAAGGCAAGGAGAAUUACUCCAAUUAUAAUGAAAGAGCUAAAAAAAUAAUGCUCCUCAGCUUCCUCAGUCCUGGGGGGUUUACUAUGUAUUUGUGUAUUUUCUAAAGCAUUCUUUUCCUCUGUUGUCCCUGUCUAACACUCCACACUGCAUAAUUGUCAUUGUGCAUUUACAUUUUUCUUUGUUGCUGAGGACAGCCAGCUUGAAUUAGAAGCUGUUCAUUGCCAAAUUCCGAAGAUUCAGGAUAUUAACUUGGAUUAAAGCAGGGCUGUCCCACCCCUUCUCCCAGCCUCGCAGGGGAGGGUGUUGAUGGGUCACACAGCUGCUCCUGAGCUGCCACUGCUCCUGACUGACAUAUUUUUUGCUUUACUCUAGCAUGUCAAGCUGUCUGUAUCCGUCUGUCAGCUCCAGGCAAGGAUGCCAGCCUCUAAGAUAAGGGCAGCAUGAUGAGGCAAGUGCAAUUUUUUCAGCACUAGAUGUCAGUGUGGACUUGCAAUACCAGACUGCUCUGCAAGUUUUCUUUAACAGAGAAAGAAUUGCUAUCCAGAAUGAAUCCAAGCUUCUCCAGCCUCAUGAUAUGCUUCUACAAAACAGGUCUUUUUUGCUGUUUAAACUCCACGUGGAAAGCUUUCUGUCCUUGACUGGGAUUAUACAGCUGUAAAAGGACCCUUUCUAAAUUGUGAUCAUAUCAUGACUGAGUUAAAGAGGAGUUACCAUGAGUCCAGAGGAAAAGCCUUAGAAAAUAAUGAAGAAAAUAAAUUGUUCUGAAUUGUCUUGAUAAUCUGUGAUCUUGCUAAGAAGGCAUUGCACAUGUGGUCCAUGGGAAUGGUUAAUCCUGCAACUAAGAAUACUCAUCUCAACAAGAACCUCCUGUCAAGACUGAGUUUUUGCUUUCCUACUUCCUAGAAAGAUACUGCAUCAUCUGGAUGUGUUCUGCUACACCAAGCAGUUACAAGGACUGUUCUAACUUGCACUUGAUUUACUGUUUGCCUGGCUUUUUCUGAAUACUGAACUGAAACCAGCUUGGGGCAGAACAACCAGCCAGGAAGUGUAUGUUGGCUUUCUCAAGUGGUGAAAUGACUAGUUUCUACCACUCUUCGGAAAACAUUUUGCUUCCUUAUUUAAGAAAUUUAAGUCCCUCAUUCCCUAUGCUGUUAUGGGAAGGCUGAGGAAGAGAACCCUGACUCCCCUCAUUUUGCAAGCAGCAAUCUAGAACAAGACACAGCUCCUCUUCUCCUGGAGAGGUACAAACUGGAGAAAGGCAAAGCAGAGAGAGGAGGAAGUGGGUUCACAAUUGUGAUUUCUCAUCUCUUACGUUCAUGGGUUUUGGCUUCUGUUGAGUGGAUCUGAGCCAACACGACAGAUGGAGCCUUUUACACCACCCUCACGCUUGGUUUGCAGCAGGCGUGAUGCACAGAAGCUGAGGCAGAAAACGUUUCUGGCAGAGAGCGCAGAGCUCUCUGACAUCCUCCUGACCCAGUACUGCUGUAGCUGUGAUCUAGGCCUUCAGAAAAAUCCAGUUACAUGCCUUUGUGUUCUUCACUAAGCAUUUGCUAGUGAAGUAUUAUCCUGAUACAUGCAUUAGUGUGCCUAGAUUUUAUUGUACUUUAUGGUUGUUACUGUCCCUUUGACUCGUGCUGCACAAAGUCACUGUGACACAUGUGACUGCCCAAGCAGCUGUGCUUAACAUUCCUGUGUGUUUUUGUUUCUCAUUAUUAGGCUUAUCAGUGGCAGACUGCAAGCAGUGGGCUGUAGAAUAUCAAUUAAUAAUUAAUAUAAAAUAUUAGCAAACACUGUGCAAAAAUAAGGACAAAGUCAUUUUUUCUUCUGGGCCCUGAGAAGGUAAUAUUUGGUAGGUGAUAGAAAACCUGAGAGAAUACAGAUUGUACUUGGCAAAUCUAAUAUCACGUGGCUCUACCACCUGCUCUCAUUCCUACAUUUUUUGCUGUUAUUUUUCUGUAGUACUGCUUUCCAUAUACUUAUCUCUUUCUACAGAUGUCUGGCAUUCAAAGAAUUAGUAUCAAUAAUGAAAGAUGUAUCCUGUAAAAUAGCUUUGCCUGCAAUCAGCUUCUGAAGACUGAUUUACUUGUGUAAUUCUCACUGUGUCAUGACUUGAAGUGUCUUCCUUAUUAUUAAGUAUCAUGAACUGCUCUAGAUAAAGCUCUCUGUUAAGCCAGCUGCCUUUUUAGAUGUGAAAGGAUUUUGUAGUCCCACCCUGUACCGAAAAACAAAUUAGUGUAAGUCAGGGAUAUAACUCAAAAGAGUACCAUUAUUUCCCCCUGCCCAAGUAAAGGGAGUUUAAGGUGAUCAAUUGUCCUCCCCCAACUCCCAAAUGCACACUCAGCUGGCAUUGCUGGGUACUGGUAUGAGAUCUGAAAAUGAGAGAGAGUAAAUGUGCUUCCCAUAUGUUAAUUUGUCCUACACCCUCUCUUGGAGCUGGAUGGCACCUUUAUAUAUCAGCUUGUAUACCCCAGACUCACAUACCCACAGAUGUAUCAUGCCUUGCCCAGAUGAACGUGCAUCGGUGUCACUUCAUUAAUGAAAUGGUGCAGAUUCCUCCAGUGCAGAAAUGGGCACAGCCUAAGCAGCUAUUUGUCUUCUCUAGCUUCUCAAGCACGUAGUAAAAAUGAGGGUUGGGGGCGGGGCUGUAACUGCAGGAAGGUUCAGGAAACUACACAGAGAGGUGAUUAAUGCAAAGCUGAUAACAACAAAACCCUCACCAACAAGUAAAACUAAUACAGCACGUGGGAGAGCCAGUUAACAGUGCUGGCCUGAUCACGUAGCAAAAAGGCAAAUUCAUAUGAAUAGCAUUUGGUAUGGCCUCUGGUUGCCUACAUAGGCACUCAGUGGCUAUGAUAGUACAGUUGUGAGUGUAGGACAGCAUACAAAUUAUUAGGGGGAAUACCCUUUUCUAUGAGAAAUCUUGGACUGAAGUAUAUUUCUUAAAAUACUACUUUACAGCAUGUGGUAAUGAAGUGCACGGCACAAAUUGCCAUUUUGUCAAGUAUGUUAUUUCCAAGUAUUUCUUCCUGUACAAAAUGGUCAAUCAAUAAGUCCAGUCAAAAUGUCAGUUUAUUUUCAAGAUUAAGUUAUCUUCUUUGUGAACAUCAGUUUUCUCUACAGGCAACUCUAGAGUACAAAAUACAGCAUAUUGUUUGCAGUGUGAUAGAAACUUCAGAAAAGCAUAAAUUUCAAACAAUAGAAGGCUUUAAACAGAAUUUUUAUAAAGCAAGGGUGAACCUCCUUAUCCUUGUGAGCAUCACCACACAUUUACAAAACAGUUUUAGAAAUCAAACCUCGAGUUUGACAAGCAGCUUGGUUUUUUUAUUCCAUGAAGAUUGAUCUCAACAUGUUGCAGAAUUGUUUUUCAUGUGUCAGUGUAAGCAUGUGCCCAAAUCUUCAUGUGAUUAACAUCAAUAUGUGUAAAGAGUUAUUUAAUGCAAAUAAAAAUCUAAAUCUGGA